rnacentral:sRNA from 1 species
GGCUCAAGAAAGAUCACUGAGUUCAAAGCAGUGAUGUUUGGGUAAAGCAGUGAUGUUUGGGUAAGGCAGUGGAUGAGGUUAAGGGUUCCUGGGGUGGUUUAUUUGGUGAGCCCGAGAAUUUGCAUUUCUGACAAGAUCCCAGGAUUUGAACGUCUAUGACACUCUUCCGAGCUGACACAGUGAAGAACAUGGAAGGAGAACUCACCCAGUCUGCCAGGGUCACAGAUGAUCAUACUCAAGAUCUUCCUGGGGAGUCAACGGCAAAUUUCACUGGG